rnacentral:misc_RNA from 1 species
GUAAACGAAAAAACCGCCUGGGGAGGCGGUUUGUUCGAAGGUUAAGUCAGUUGGGGAACUGCUUAACCCGGUAACAGGGUUCACGAGACCGCCAUUACCAAAACUGUUCUUUCAGUGUAGCCGCAGUCAGGCCUCUACUUCAAGACCUCUUAAUCUAUCUUCUCGUGCACUCCUGUUACUAAUGGCUGCUGCCAGUGGCGUUUUGUCGUGUCUUUCCGGGUUGGACUCAAGUUGAUAGUUACCGGACAAGGCGCAGCGGUCGGACUGAACGGGGGGUUCGUGCAUACAGUCCAGCUUGGAGCGAACUGCCUUCACGGAACUGAGUGUCAGGCGUGGAAUGAGAAACCGCGGCCAUAACAGCGGAAUGACACCGGUAAACCGAAAGGCAGGAACAGGAGAGCGCACGAGGGAGCUACCAGGGGGAAACGCCUGGGAUCUUUAUAGUCCUGUCGGGUUUCGCCACCACUGAUUUGAGCGUCAGAUUUUGCGAUGCUUGUCAGGGGGGCGGAGCCUAUGGAAAAACGGCUUCGCCGUGGCCUUAUCUCUUCUUUGCUAA